rfam:Triticum urartu cultivar G1812 contig1079479, whole genome shotgun sequence.
GUGAGCCUAGUGAUAGGAGACUAUCUAGCUUGGUUCGGAGAGCACUUGUUGGGUUUCAGAUUCAUUUUUUGCUAAAUGUUACGGCCUAAAUGCUGAACUAUUGACCCUGC